UACGGGGGGGGCAAGCGUUGUUCGGAAUUACUGGGCGUAAAGGGCUCGUAGGCGGCCAACUAAGUCAGACGUGAAAUCCCUCGGCUUAACCGGGGAACUGCGUCUGAUACUGGAUGGCUUGAGUUUGGGAGAGGGAUGCGGAAUUCCAGGUGUAGCGGUGAAAUGCGUAGAUAUCUGGAGGAAUACCGGCGGCGAAGGCGGCAUCCUGGACCGGCAUUGACGCUGAUGAGCGAAAGCUAGGGGAGCAAACGGG
rnacentral:rRNA from 1 species